rnacentral:rRNA from 1 species
AUUGAACGCUGGCGGCAUGCCUUACACAUGCAAGUCGAACGGCAGCACGGGAGCAAUCCUGGUGGCGAGUGGCGAACGGGUGAGUAAAGCAUCGGAACGUACCUGGUAGUGGGGGAUAGCCCGGCGAAAGCCGGAUUAAUACCGCAUACGACCUGAGGGUGAAAGCGGGGGGUCGCAAGACCUCGCGCUAUUGGAGCGGCCGAUGUCAGAUUAGCUAGUUGGUGGGGUAAAGGCCUACCAAGGCGACGAUCUGUAGCUGGUCUGAGAGGACGACCAGCCACACUGGGACUGAGACACGGCCCAGACUCCUACGGGAGGCAGCAGUGGGGAAUUUUGGACAAUGGGCGCAAGCCUGAUCCAGCCAUGCCGCGUGCGGGAAGAAGGCCUUCGGGUUGUAAACCGCUUUUGUCAGGGAAGAAAUCUUCUGGGUUAAUACCUCGGGAGGAUGACGGUACCUGAAGAAUAAGCACCGGCUAACUACGUGCCAGCAGCCGCAGUAACAC